rnacentral:rRNA from 2 species
AUCUCCUUCGACGAGUCGAGUUGUUUGGGAAUGCAGCUCUAAAUUGGAGGUAAAUUUCUUCUAAAGCUAAAUACUGGCCAGAGACCGAUAGCGCACAAGUAGAGUGAUCGAAAGAUGAAAAGCACUUUGGAAAGAGAGUUAAAAAGCACGUGAAAUUGUUGAAAGGGAAGCGCUUGCAACCAGACUUGUCCGCAGUUGCUCAACCGGUCUCCUGACCGGUGUACUCUUCUGCGGCCAGGCCAGCAUCAGUUCGGGCGGUCGGAUAAAGACCUUGGGAAUGUAGCUCCUCUCGGGGAGUGUUAUAGCCCAAGGUGGAAUGCGGCCAGCCUGGACUGAGGAACUCGCUUCGGCAAGGAUGCUGGCGUAAUGGUUGUAAGCGGCCCGUCUUGAAACACGGACCAAGGAGUCUAACAUCUAUGCGAGUGUUUGGGUGUCAAACCCAUACGCGUAAUGAAAGUGAACGGAGGUGGGAACCCGCAAGGGCGCACCAUCGGCCGAUCCUGAUGUCUUCGGAUGGAUUUGAGCAAGAGCAUAGCUGUUGGGACCCGAAAGAUGGUGAACUAUGCCUGAAUAGGGUGAAGCCAGAGGAAACUCUGGUGGAGGCUCGCAGCGGUUCUGACGUGCAAAUCGAUCGUCAAAUUUGGG